AGAAACUUAGGUUAAACAUUAAACCAAGAGCCUUCAAAGCCCUAAAUAGGAGACUAAACCUCCUAGUUUCUG
rnacentral:tRNA from 1 species